CUAGGCUCAAAUCUGAGUGGACUUGACCUAGUUAAACACAUCCAAAAAUCUUGAAAAAAUUACAAGACAUGCAUAAGAUUAUUUGAAACAAAACUCAUGAGGCAAGAUUGUCCAGAAAUCAUCACAGAAGGCUACAUGAAAAUAGUAAAUUCUCAUUUUGGAACAAGAGCAUAACUAAAAAUCCACUUAAACUCCUAUAGAAUCGCUCAUCUUCGGAUGUGUUUUUGAGCAUCAAAAGACACUUGAUUGGGCAUGCGACCUAUUGAUUCGAAGCUUGCAAUGUUUUAUUUUAAAUGUCUAAGAGGCCUCGAGUUGAAAUGAGGUUGUUUAGGACCUCAUUUUGGCCAAAUCAUUGGAUCAGUCCUAUAGCUAUGAAAUUGCAAAUUCAAGUUAAAUCAACUACAAUCAUUCAAGUUCAUUCAAAAACACUCAUCCACAGCAAAUCAAUAUCUCAAGUCUCUGUCAAAACGCCCUCCCUAUGAGAGAGAACCUACAUAAAAGGAAAAUUAUUCAAGAUCCAUUAUGCCCGUUCUACCACUCUAGUAUCGAAACUACAGAGCGCCUUUUUUUCUUGUGUAAAUGGACAAGGAAAAUAUGGGAUGACUCGAGAUUUGAUGGGAUCAGACCCAGAAAUAGCAUAAAGCGAACAGAUCAGUGGAUCUUCGAAACUUUUAGAGGAGAUCAGCUCUUACCUGCACGAGAGCUCACUGGUAUGCUUCUGUGGAACAUCUAGAAGGCGAGAAAUAGCUGGAUUUUUCGAGCAAAAUACCCCAGACCAGCAGAUCUACUGAUUUCGGCACAGGAACAACAGAUGUCUUUCAGUCGAGGAAAGUCAAAACAAAAAUUACGACAACUCACACGAGACAAACCUAAUCAGUGGAGACCUCCGGAAGGACGGGAUCUGAAGCUGAACGUUGAUGCAGCAUGGUGUUCAGGCGAGUUUUUGUGUUCUGUGGCUGGAGCAGUGCGUGAUUCGUCUGGAAGAGCUAUCGAAGGCUUCGCUUCCACGGCUAGGG
rnacentral:lncRNA from 1 species